rnacentral:tRNA from 1 species
GAGCUCGUAGCUCAGCUGGUAGAGCAACGCCCUUUUAAGGCGUGGGUCCUGGGUUCGAAUCCCAGCGGGCUCACCA